rnacentral:lncRNA from 1 species
CCCAGGCUGGCCUCAAACUCACAGUGAUCCUCCUGCCUCAGCCUCCCAAGUGCUGGGAUUACAGAGCUCUUCCUGAAGCCCAAAGGACACCAGGCUAUGAACUCCCCCGUACCAAAAGAAAUCCCGGCUGCCUUAGAACCCCAGUUCCUUGAGCCUCGCGGAAAAUAUAGUCCCAGGAGGUGUGCCUCAGAAAAUCCCGGGAAGCUGAGCGGAGCGCUUUUUUCCGCACAUGCACCAUGGGAAGAUCUGGAAGCUCAGUUAUUGGAUAAAUUUCUAGGAGAAAAGAAGUCACUAGAUCAGAAGCUAACAACAAAUUGUAAUAGAUCAAUGGGACAGAAAUGGACACAUCUACUGAAGAAAGAACAUCCUUGUGCAAGUUUCUUAUGAUUAUAUCAGAAUCACAAGCAAACAAGUUGAUGGUUUCAGAACAUCGAUUUAUCUGAUUUGUUUCAAAGGUCAUAAUUCCUCCAAAAGCCUUUUCAAUAGCUGGAAGAUGGGAAUCAGUGACAUUCUGGGAUGUGGCUGUGGACUUCACUUAAGAGGAAUGGCAUCUACUUGAUUAUGAUCAGAAAAUACUGUACUGGGACGUGAUCCUGAAAAAUUUGAGAAACCAAAUUUCAGUGGAGCGUCCAGAUGUGAUCUUCAAAGUGGAGCAAGGAUAAGAGCCACGGAUGGUGGAAAAAGAAUCUACAUCUGCAUUACACAGAAUACAAGUCCGUUGGUGAUGCGCGAAUCGGCCAGCUGCCCGGGAGGCAGGGAGCGCUGAGGACCUGGAAGAGCUGUUCCCCCUCCGCCCGCUAAGAAGAGGUCAGUGGGUGCCUCGAGGCCCAUAAGAUUUUUAAAUUUUCUUUGAUGUCUUUCACAAAAUCAAAGUUUCCCUUUCUUUUGAAUCUUUGCUGUUGUGCCUGAGGGAGAGAACACACCCUCCCUGGGUCCUGCCCCCAGCAUCUUCU